CCCGCUGAACUUAAGCAUAUCAAUAAGCGGAGGAAAAGAAACUAACAAGGAUUCCCCUAGUAACGGCGAGUGAAGCGGGAAAAGCUCAAAUUUAAAAUCUGGUGGCCUUUGGCCAUCCGAGUUGUAAUUUAGAGAAGCGUCUUCCGCGCCGGACCGUGCACAAGUCUCCUGGAAUGGAGCGUCAUAGAGGGUGAGAAUCCCGUCUUUGGCACGGACGACCGGGGCUUUUGUGAUGCGCUCUCGAAGAGUCGAGUUGUUUGGGAAUGCAGCUCAAAAUGGGUGGUGAACUCCAUCUAAAGCUAAAUAUUGGCGAGAGACCGAUAGCGAACAAGUACCGUGAGGGAAAGAUGAAAAGCACUUUGAAAAGAGGGUUAAAUAGUACGUGAAAUUGUUGAAAGGGAAGCGCUCAUGACCAGACUUGGGCCCGGUGAAUCAUCCAGCGCUCGUCGCUGGUGCACUUUGCCGGGCUCAGGCCAGCAUCAGUUCGCUCCGGGGGACAAAGGCUCUGGGAAUGUGGCUCCUCCGGGAGUGUUAUAGCCCACUGCGCAAUACCCUGGGGCGGACUGAGGUUCGCGCAUUCGUGCAAGGAUGCUGGCGUAAUGGUCAUCAGUGACCCGUCUUGAAACACGG
rnacentral:rRNA from 1 species